GGAGAGGCCUGGAUCAGGAAGGAUUUGCAGCUCUGUGCCCUGAGGCCCAGGACGCCCCCACCCCCAGCAGCUUCUGAGAAUCGGAAGGGAGAGAAGGGCCUACCCCACCUGGCACCCGUCCUAGAUGGCAAAGCCGCUGGAAGGCAGGGCUGGCCUUGGACGCAGGGUCCAUGGAAACAGUGGUCAGCCAGCCUGCCUCACACUCAGCCCCACUGCGGCUCCUGCUGGAAGGGAAUCCCAGCCUCUGGGCAGCACCCCCAGCCACUGACCAUGGGUCCCCGAGGCCCGGGGAGGGCCCACGAGGCUGGAGCUCCCCUCCCACCACUGCUUAGCCCACGGGGAGGCCGGGAGGCUCCUGCUGAGCUCAGGCAUGCACAUGGCCAGGAUGCUCAGUCUGGGUGGCUUGUGGGGGUCCCUGGAGGAGGCUCUAUUUCCAGAGACCCCAGCCCAGCUGACCAGAGCCCCUUGAAGACCGUGGGAGGUCUCUGGGCUGAUCUGUUUCAAGGUUCACAUUCAAGGGGAAACUGAGGCCCAGAGUGUCUCCUGGCCAUGCACAUCGGGAGUCAGCUGCGCUUGUCCAAUGCCAGCCCUGAUCCAGCCAGGCCAGAGGCUCCGGCCCUGAGUCCCAUUUGGCCUCCACCUCACUCUGGGGCCUCCUCAUUAACCCUGGCAGGGUUGAGGAAGCAGCUGCUCCGGGGGGUCCUGGACCUGCCCGGGGUCCUCCGCCUGCCCCAGGUGGGAGCCGCAGAAGCCUAGCACCUCCGGCUGGUGUCGGGUGGGCUUCCUGGGGGCUAUGUGGUAAACCUCCUUGACGAGCGUCAUCUACAGGACAGACAGCGUCAUCUGCAGGACACUCCGUCCGCGCUGCAAUACCUCUUGCAAACACCUCCUGCCCGUGUGACCUGCACCUCAGAUGCUCCCACCUCCUGGCUCCCUGGUCACCAGCGUCCUGAAUGCUCCGUGGCGCAGACGCCAGGCAGGAAGCACCAGGAUGGCGGGGAUCAAGAAACACAGGAAGUAGGAAGUGUUGGCAGAGACGUGGGGACCCGGAGCCCUGUG
rnacentral:lncRNA from 10 species